CUGCGCCUAAGGCAGGAGUAGAACUCAUGAUCUCCAGUCUGAUCAAACUGGUUCUCAAGUAUGGAUCAGCCUUUUACGACGACUGGAAAAGUGGAUCAGAUGGGUGUCAAGAUAGGUGUACUCAUGUUGAUGUCCGUAUUGAAUCUUCAAUAGAAAUCCGCACAAAGAAACUGUAAAGAGUAUGUCCAAGAUUUGAGGUCUCUGAAAUUCUAUCCAACCUUUUCUUUCUCUCCCUUUCCAAAGUGUACUGCAAUCAACUUCCCUAUUGAUAUGUUACAGCAACAGGCAUCCCGCAAGACCAAGGAUGUUUGUAGCUUGAAGCUAAACAUUGCAGUACUUCAAAGGAAGAAUUGACUCCUUUCUCGCAGAGAAAUUCCUUAGCUGGAUCCCCUUCUCUUCUUUAUAUGCCAUUAAAGCUGUUUAUGGCAUGGAAGAAAGCAAAACUCAGAAUACUGGAGCAGCAAGAAGUUGUCACGGCAUUGUUGGACAACUUGCAAGAAACUGGCAGAGCUGGUCCAAGGAUCGUGUGGCUUAUCAGCAACGAAACCCAUUUAGCAAUGGCAUCCAAGCAACCUUACGCACUGAGAAAGGGGAUCCCACUUAUGGGAGACCACUUGAAGGCUCCAAAACUGAGCAGAGAGGAAAAGAUGCACAGGCACAUAUAGGCAAAGAAGUGGAAGAACUAUGCUUAAUUAUACAUAACACUGGAAAGAGGGAACAGGAUGGGCAAGUGAGAAUAACGUUCAAACAGCUCUUUGAUAGGUAUGUGACUAUAUCCAAUAAACUUGUAGGUGUCCUCUUAAGAGCAAGGAAGCAUGGCCUGGUUGACUUUGAAGGUGAAAUGCUUUGGCAAGGAAAAGAUGAUAGUGUAGUUAUUACUUUGUUUGAACAAGAUAAAGAUUAUCCAGCUACUUCAUGAUUAAUUCAGAAAUCUGCUAAAGCUCUUGAAACAUCAAAAUGACUGCCUGGCUUAGAACAU